rnacentral:rRNA from 1 species
GACGAACGCUGGCGGCGUGCUUAACACAUGCAAGUCGAACGGAAAGGCCCUGCUUUUGUGGGGUGCUCGAGUUGCGAACGGGUGAGUAACACGUGAGUAACCUGCCCUUGACUUUGGGAUAACUUCAGGAAACUGGGGCUAAUACCGGAUAGGAGCUCCUGCUGCAUGGUGGGGGUUGGAAAGUUUCGGCGGUUGGGGAUGGACUCGCGGCUUAUCAGCUUGUUGGUGGGGUAGUGGCUUACCAAGGCUUUGACGGGUAGCCGGGCUGAGAGGGUGACCGGCCAAACUGGGACUGAGAUACGGCACAGACUCCUACGGGAGGCAGCGGUGGGGAAUGUUGUACAAUGGGCGGAAGCAUGAUGCAGCAACGCAGCGUGCGGGAUGAGGGGCAGCGGGUUGUAAACCGCUUUCGCCUGUGACGAAGCGUGAGUGACGGUAAUGGGUAAAGAAGCACCGGCUAACUACGUG